AUAAUAACACAUGUAUUUUGAAUUCUUAACUUGCUGUAGGUACUUUGUACAACUGGACGCUUGUUCUUCACGGAACAGAUAGUGAUCCAUUGGACAGCAACCCUCAUGUGUCAAGACCUUUCAUUCGCAGAGUAACUACGGCCAAUGCUGUUACUGCGAAACCUAAUGGAAGUCGCCAUGAAGGUCUGACAGGGGCAGAGAUUGUUGUGAUAGGAAGCGUUGCAUUUGUCGCCUUGGUAA